rnacentral:piRNA from 1 species
UACAUCCUUCGUUCGUUUGUCCCAAGCGC